AUGGUCAGUAUGAAGCUUCCGCCGCAGCCCACGCGCUCGACGAUCACGGCCACGACGAGCGCCGGUACCCACGAGCUGAAGGUGGAGGGCUACUCCGUGACCAAGCUGCUCGUCGCCGGCGAGCACAUCGAGUCCAGCAAAUUCAGGGCCGCGGGCCACGAUUUUCAGAUCUGCUACUACCCGCACAGGUACCAGAAGAAGGACUGCAACGCCAGCAUCUCCUUCUUCCUCAAGAUGGCCGAGGCGGUCGCCUCGAACGUCCGCGUCGAGUUCCGGUUCAGCCUGGUCUCUCGCCACGGCGGUGAGCCUGCACGUUUUGCUGGUCAGCGCCGCGUGGUGACGUUCCCUGACAAGCACGAUGGCGUGGAGUACUGGGGCCUGGAGAUCUCGAAGAAGGAGCUUGAGCAGUCGCCGGAGUACCUGUGGGACGAACUCCUUCGUGCUGCGGUGUGA
rnacentral:rRNA from 1 species